GUGCUCGCUCUGGCAGCACAUAUACUAAAAUUGGAAUGAUAGAGAUUAGCAUGGCCCCUGUGCAAGGAUGACACACAAAUUCAUGAAGCAUUCCAUAUUUUU
ensembl:snRNA U6 U6 spliceosomal RNA